rnacentral:rRNA from 1 species
GAGACACGGCCCAAACUCCUACGGGAGGCAGCAGUGGGGAAUAUUGCACAAUGGGGGAAACCCUGAUGCAGCGACGCCGCGUGGAGGAAGAAGGUCUUCGGAUUGUAAACUCCUGUCCCAGGGGACGAUAAUGACGGUACCCUGGGAGGAAGCACCGGCUAACUACGUGCCAGCAGCCGCGGUAAAACGUAGGGUGCAAGCGUUGUCCGGAAUUACUGGGUGUAAAGGGAGCGCAGGCGGAUUGGCAAGUUGGGAGUGAAAUCUAUGGGCUCAACCCAUAAAUUGCUUUCAAAACUGUCAGUCUUGAGUGGUGUAGAGGUAGGCGGAAUUCCCGGUGUAGCGGUGGAAUGCGUAGAUAUCGGGAGGAACACCAGUGGCGAAGGCGGCCUACUGGGCACUAACUGACGCUGAGGCUCGAAAGCAUGGGUAGCAAACAGGAUUAGAUACCCUGGUAGUCCAUGCCGUAAACGAUGAUUACUAGGUGUGGGAGGAUUGACCCCUUCCGUGCCGCAGUUAACACAAUAAGUAAUCCACCUGGGGAGUACGACCGCAAGGUUGAAACUCAAAGGAAUUGACGGGGGCCCGCACAAGCGGUGGAGCAUGUGGUUUAAUUCGAAGCAACGCGAAGAACCUUACCUGGUCUUGACAUCCCAAUGACCGAACCUUAACCGGUUUUUUCUUUCGAGACAUUGGAGACAGGUGGUGCAUGGUUGUCGUCAGCUCGUGUCGUGAGAUGUUGGGUUAAGUCCCGCAACGAGCGCAACCCUUAUCGUUAGUUACCAUCAUUAAGUUGGGGACUCUAGCGAGACUGCCAGUGACAAGCUGGAGGAAGGCGGGGAUGACGUCAAAUCAUCAUGCCCCUUAUGACCUGGGCUACACACGU